UACCGAGGGUGCGAGCGUUAAUCGGAAUUACUGGGCGUAAAGCGCGCGUAGGCGGCUUUGCAAGUCGGGUGUGAAAUCCCCAGGCUUAACCUGGGAACUGCAUUCGAGACUGCAUUGCUAGAGUAUGGGAGAGGGAAGUGGAACUGCGAGUGUAGAGGUGAAAUUCGUAGAUAUUCGCAAGAACACCAGUGGCGAAGGCGGCUCACUGGCCCGGUACUGACGCUGAGGUGCGAAAGCGUGGGGAGCAAACAGG
rnacentral:rRNA from 1 species